UACAGAGGUCUCAAGCGUUGUUCGGAUUCAUUGGGCGUAAAGGGUGUGUAGGUGGCGCCGUAAGUCGGGUGUGAAAUUUCGGAGCUUAACUCCGAAACUGCAUUCGAUACUGCGGUGCUUGAGGACUGGAGAGGAGACUGGAAUUCAUGGUGUAGCAGUGAAAUGCGUAGAGAUGUGGAGGAACACCGAUGGCGAAGGCAGCCCCCUGGGGUAACACUGACGCUCAUGCACGAAAGCGUGGGGAGCAAACAGG
rnacentral:rRNA from 1 species